GUUCCGUAGGUGAACCUGCGGAAGGAUCAUUAUUGUAUAACCGAGGUGCGAGGGCUGUCGCUGACCCGAAAGGUCGUGCACGCCCGAGUGCCCUCACACACAUCCAACUCACCCCUAUGUGCACCACCGCGUGGGUCCCCCUUUGGCUUGUUCGGAGGGGGGCUUACGUUUUCACACAAACUUGUAUGCAGUGUAGAAUGUAUUUUUUGUUUUUGCGAUCACGCAAUCAAUACAACUUUCAACAACGGAUCUCUUGGCUCUC
rnacentral:misc_RNA from 1 species